GAUGAAGAACGUAGCGAAAUGCGAUACGUAAUGUGAAUUGCAGAAUUGAGUGAAUCAUCGAAUCUUUGAACGCAUAUUGCGCUCUCUGGUAUUCCGGAGAGCAUGCUUGUUUGAGUAUCAGUAAACACCUCAACUCCCUUUUCUUUUUUGAAAUUGGAGCUGGACUUGAGUGAUCCCAACGCUUUCUUCCAAGAAAGUGGCGGGUUGCUUGAAAUGCAGGUGCAGCUGAACUUUUCUCUGAGCUAUAAGCAUAUCUAUUUAGUCUGCCUAAAAAACAGAUUAUUACCUUUGCUGCAGCUAACAUAAAGGAGACUAGUUCUUGUGCUGACUGAUGCAGGAUUCACAGAGACAGCUUCGGCUGACUUUGUAAACUCGAUCUCAAAUCAAGUAAGACUACCCGCUGAACUUAAGCAUAUCAAUAAGCGGAGGA
rnacentral:misc_RNA from 1 species